rnacentral:rRNA from 1 species
GCUAGUAAUGGCAGGUCAGCAUACUGCCGUGAAUACGUUCCCGGGCCUUGUACACACCGCCCGUCACACCAUGAGAGUUGGGGAUACCCAAAGCCCGUGAGCCAACUUUUAGAGGCAGCGGUCUAAGGUAGAAUCAAUGAUUGGGGUGAAGUCGUAACAAGGUAGC